rnacentral:rRNA from 1 species
GAUGAACGCUGCCGGCGUGCCUAAUACAUGCAAGUCGAGCGCAGCGGGCACGGGUGAGCAACACGUGGAUAACCUCCUAUAUGACUGGGAUCACUUCGGGAAACCGGAGCUAAUACGGAUACUGAUAGAUGGUUCUACGCUGCAGUAGCUAGUUGGUAAGGUAACGGCUUACCAAGGCAACGACACAUAUCCGACCGGAGAGGGUGAUCGGCCAAGCUGGAACUGAGACACGGUCCAGACUACUACGGGAGGCAGCAGUAGGGAAACUUGCACAAUGGGGGAAAGCCUGACGGAGACACGCCGCGUGAUUGAUGAAGGUCUUAGGAUCGUAAAACUCUAUUAUUAGGGGAGCGGUACCUAAUCAGAAAGCGACGGCUAACUACGUGCCAGCAGCCGCGGUAAUAC